rnacentral:rRNA from 1 species
UACAGAGGUGGCAAGCGUUGUUCGGAAUUACUGGGCGUAAAGGGCGCGUAGGCGGCCUUCUAAGUCAGACGUGAAAUCCCCCGGCUUAACCUGGGAACUGCGUCUGAUACUGGGGGGGCUCGAGUAUGGGAGAGGGGAAGUGGAAUUUCCGGUGUAGCGGUGAAAUGCGUAGAUAUCGGAAGGAACAUCAGUGGCGAAAGCGACUUCCUGGACCAAUACUGACGCUCAUGUGCGAAAGCGUGGGGAGCAAACAGG